ensembl:lncRNA
UGGGUGUUUAGAUAGCGCCAUCCGUUGCGUCGUUUAGAGUCCACCAACAGGUGAUGUCCUAGGGCACUUGUCUUUUUCCUUUCUGGCUUCCUUCGCUUAGCCUGAGGGUCUCUCGUUCCAGCCCCGCGGCGGCAGAUGGCACUCGUUCUGCCGCUUUUUCCUGGCUGUGUGCGAUGCCAUCGCAUAGAUGUCCCCGGGUCUGCGAAGUGCACUCACCUGUCAGUGGACCUUUAGGUGGCUUCCAGAUCUUGGCUCUGCCCCGCGGCGGCAGAUGGCACUCGUUCUGCCGCUUUUUCCUGGCUGUGUGCGAUGCCAUCGCAUAGAUGUCCCCGGGUCUGCGAAGUGCACUCACCUGUCAGUGGACCUUUAGGUGGCUUCCAGAUCUUGGCUCUGCCCCGCGGCGGCAGAUGGCACUCGUUCUGCCGCUUUUUCCUGGCUGUGUGCGAUGCCAUCGCAUAGAUGUCCCCGGGUCUGCGAAGUGCACUCACCUGUCAGUGGACCUUUAGGUGGCUUCCAGAUCUUGGCUCUGGUGAGUAGUGCGGCGACAGACAGAGGGGUGCCCGGGUCUGCUUCCGGGAAAGUUUGGUCCCGGUGAAAUGGAGCUGUUUGGAGGCCGGCUUCGGUCUUUGUGUGGGCCGGCCCGUGUAGGGCUGCUUGGCUGAGACUCUGUCGAGGAGGGAGGCCUUCAGCCACCGGGGCCUCACGGGGCCUACCCGUGCGGCACCAUCACAGAGCUCUCCGUCACUGCCCCUUGUGGG